rnacentral:rRNA from 1 species
GAUGAACGCUGGCGGCGUGCCUAAUACAUGCAAGUCGAGCGAACAGACGAGGAGCUUGCUCCUCUGACGUUAGCGGCGGACGGGUGAGUAACACGUGGAUAACCUACCUAUAAGACUGGGAUAACUUCGGGAAACCGGAGCUAAUACCGGAUAAUAUAUUGAACCGCAUGGUUCAAUAGUGAAAGACGGUUUUGCUGUCACUUAUAGAUGGAUCCGCGCCGCAUUAGCUAGUUGGUAAGGUAACGGCUUACCAAGGCGACGAUGCGUAGCCGACCUGAGAGGGUGGUCGGCCACACUGGAUCUGAGACACGGUCCAGACUCCUACGGGAGGCAGCAGUAGGGAAUCUUCCGCAAUGGGCGAAAGCCUGACGGAGCAACGCCGCGUGAGUGAUGAAGGUCUUCGGAUCGUAAAACUCUGUUAUUAGGGAAGAACAAAUGUGUAAUUAACUAUGCACGUCUUGACGGUACCUAAUCAGAAGGCCACGGCUAACUACGUG